CAUAACUUGUUCUUAAUAUUCCUUUAUAGUUUCAUUUUAAGCAAGAUUCUUGAAAAGAUGAUGACGCCACAUUUAAAGGAAGGUCCUUUUCAAUCAUCUUAUAUUCCAUACCCUCCUCUCCUCCAACCUGUACUUUGUCUCCUGAUGAAAGUAUCAGAGGUAGGAGAAAGACUGGAAGGAUAGAAUGAAGAUGGGGACCUGGCCUAACGGAAACCAGGAAGGAUAGUCAGACAAUUUUGAGUAAGGAUUUGCUCUUCAACUGGGUGAAUAAGGGGUGAGAUUUAGAUGCACUAUCUGCAAGGCACUGGUUACCUUCUAGAUAACCACUCCCAGAUACCAAAGGGAAGCUUAAAACAGAGAAUUAUGCCCUCAAAUGCACUACUUCCUAAAUCUCCACAUCCCCAGUUUUCCUUGGAGUCAACAUCUGAAACUAAUGAGUCCAGUCUUCGAGCAGCCAUUUCCAGGAGCCCUGCUUGCUGUCAGUAGAGAACGGUAUUAGAAAGAUCUGAGUACCGACUAUGCCCCUCACGAUGACUGUAAGGCAGAGGUGUAGCGAUCGAUAACAGUGAACACAGUGGAGAGAUGCAAUGAUUGUGGACCAAGACUUUAGAGGAAUGUUUGUGGCUGUGCAGCAUUCAGGACACAUCAUUUACCUCCACAUGUAACUAAACUUAAGGGGAAGUAUUUUUUUGUGACAUAAACGUUAAAAUCCAGAAUCAUUCAUAUUGAAUUAUUUGCUGAAUUCUGUUGGGCUAAUAAUUGGCACAACCAAGAUUAGAAUCUUUUUGAUGGCAAAGUUCAGUUUGUCAGGCCAUAUUGCACCUAGGAAGAUUUCAGGAUUUAUGGCAAAGCAAACAGAACAAGAAUGAGAGCAACAGGAAUGUGUUUGUCAGGAACUCUGUACUGAGGACUAAACUUUGAGCAAUGACACGCCAGGGUUAGCACUGUUUGCGGUCAGCAUACAAACUGGGGUUCAAAGCUCCUCUUUAUCUUUCCUUGCAGCAUUUGCUGUCUGUCUCUGGUUUUGCUUUCCUCGGCAGUUUCUCAUCCACUCCCACAGCUAUGGUCACCCUCUGGAAGCUAGAGCCAUCCCAAUAUCCUUCCCCCUUGCAGUUCCGGGGAUAGAAAGUAUGCCAAUGCCCAUUGCCAAUUUCUUCAAACUGAAAAACCGGGUGCUGUGCCCACUAUACUCCUGAGAGUGAAAAACAAAUCUCUCUCUCUCUCCCCCCUCUCUCUCUUUUCAAUAUACGUGAACAUGGCUUUUGAGUUUGCCUGUGCCUCCUUCAUAUUCCCAUCAGCAAUACUCUCACCCAUGAGUCUUAUUGGACUGCACAUUCCAGUAGUUUCUUAGCUGGUCUUGUCCCCUUUGACAACAGUAGAGACAUUUUCAAAACGCAAAGAUGAUUUUUGUCAGCUUCCCUUUGUAGUCUUUCCAUUGUCUUAAGAUGAAGUGUAAAUGGGAUAAGGUCCCUGAGAUAUGGCU